rnacentral:rRNA from 1 species
UACGGGGGGUGCGAGCGUUGCUCGGAAUUAUUGGGCGUAAAGCGUACGCAGGCGGCUCUGCAAGUCGAGGGUGAAAUCCCGGGGCUCAACCCCGGACUUGCCUUCGAAACUGCGGAGCUUGAGUGCGGGAGAGGGAAGCGGAAUUCCUGGUGUAGAGGUGAAAUUCGUAGAUAUCAGGAGGAACACCGGUGGCGAAAGCGGCUUCCUGGCCCGAUACUGACGCUCAUGUACGAAAGCGUGGGGAGCAAACAGG